GGAAUAUUGGUCAAUGGACGAGAGUCUGAACCAGCCAAGUAGCGUGAAGGAUGAAGGUCCUACGGAUUGUAAACUUCUUUUAUAAGGGAAUAAAACCUCCCACGUGUGGGAGCUUGUAUGUACCUUAUGAAUAAGCAUCGGCUAACUCCGUGCCAGCAGCCGCGGUAAUACGGAGGAUGCAAGCGUUAUCCGGAUUUAUUGGGUUUAAAGGGAGCGCAGACGGGUCGUUAAGUCAGCUGUGAAAGUUUGGGGCUCAACCUUAAAAUUGCAGUUGAUACUGGCGUCCUUGAGUGCGGUUGAGGUGUGCGGAAUUCGUGGUGUAGCGGUGAAAUGCUUAGAUAUCACGAAGAACUCCGAUUGCGAAGGCAGCACACUAAGCCGUAACUGACGUUCAUGCUCGAAAGUGUGGGUAUCAAACAGGAUUAGAUACCCUUG
rnacentral:rRNA from 1 species